rnacentral:rRNA from 1 species
UACGAAGGGGGCUAGCGUUGUUCGGAAUUACUGGGCGUAAAGGGCGCGUAGGCGGUGUGUCAAGUCAGGCGUGAAAGCCCCGGGCUCAACCUGGGAACCGCGCUUGAGACUGGCACGCUAGAGUUCGGGAGAGGAUGGUGGAAUUCCCAGUGUAGAGGUGAAAUUCGUAGAUAUUGGGAAGAACACCGAUGGCGAAGGCAGCCAUCUGGACCGACACUGACGCUAAGGCGCGAAAGCGUGGGGAGCAAACAGG